rfam:Triticum aestivum genome assembly, contig: Triticum_aestivum_CS42_TGACv1_scaffold_001101_1AL
AGUAUCAUGGGACGAAACCUUGAAACAAUCUUAGGACACCUUCUGACACAGUGCUUAUUUACCUGUGAAUGAGAAGGCAUUUAUAUUCUGAUGAUACG